AUAAGCCUGAAAUGUUCGGAUUAACCUAUUAUUUUGAACCUACAUUUGACAUAAGGGAGUUUGGAGUUUAAAGGCAAGAUGUCAGGCCUCAAGCUAAUUCCUUUGCAAAUCCUCGGAUUUGCAAACGGCAGUGGAAGACAGAAGCUUUUAGCAGAACACCCACCUAGCGGGGGCUAGGUGUCAAAAUAUAGGGGAACGGCAUUUUGGGUACAUU
rnacentral:other from 1 species